rnacentral:rRNA from 1 species
CUACGGGGGGCAGCAGUGAGGAAUUUUGCGCAAUGGGGGAAACCCUGACGCAGCAACGCCGCGUGAGCGAAGAAGGCCCUCGGGUCGUAAAGCUCUGUCAAGUGGGAAAAAAAUUUUUUGAUCAAUAGUCAAAAGACUUGAUGGUACCACUGGAGGAAGCACCGGCUAACUCCGUGCCAGCAGCCGCGGUAAUACGGAGGGUGCGAGCGUUGUUCGGAUUUACUGGGCGUAAAGAGCGUGUAGGCGGUUUAGCAAGUCAGAUGUGAAAGCCCUGGGCUCAACCCGGGAAGUGCAUUUGAAACUGCUUCACUAGAGUAUGGGAGAGGAGAUUGGAAUUCCUGGUGUAGAGGUGAUAUUCGUAGAUAUCAGGAGGAACACCCGUGGCGAAGGCGAUUCUCUGGACCAAUACUGACGCUGAGACGCGAAAGCGUGGGGAGCAAACAGGAUUAGAUACCCGAGUAGUC